AAUAUAAUUUCAGUCAGCCUUGAGAUGCUCUGUCUUUAGUGUAAGGCACCGAGUUUCAGUUUUAGUAUAAAAGCUUUGAGACUUGCUGGAUCUGGCAUCAGUUUUUCUAUCACUGCAGCUGAUAUCACACCAACAACAUCCAAAAUGAAUUCCAUGCUAGUCAUCCUAUUAGUUGUUGUCUUAGCAGUUUGCGUAUCUGCUCAAUAUCCUUACUAUGGAGGAUAUUACGGCGUAGCCCCUCGCUAUGGAUACCCAUACGCAUACAACUAUGGCAACUACGCUGGAAGACUUUACGGUUACGGUUAUGGGUGGAAUAAUGGUGCUUCUCUCGUUGCUCCAUACACUGCUGCUCAAUGGUGGAAGAAAUAGGAACGAUUAAUUGAGUAAUGAUUGAUUUCUUGGAACUACAUACUUAUGGAUAUGACUGGUUGUUUGCUCAUGAAGUUAACUUCAUUAUCAUUUUAUGUAAAGUCCGAACAUUAUAUUCAUUAUUUUGUUUAUACUUUGCAAUAAAUAUAUUUGUUUAAAGUUUUAA